rnacentral:rRNA from 1 species
GACAGAGGAGGCAAGCGUUAUCCGGAAUUAUUGGGCGUAAAGCGUCCGUAGGUGGUUUGACAAGUCUGGGGUUAAAGCCCGGAGCCCAACUCCGGAUCGGCCCUGGAUACUGCCAGACUUGAGUAAGGUAGGGGUUGCGUGAAUUCCCGGUGUAGCGGUGAAAUGCGUAGAUAUCGGGAAGAACACCAGCGGCGAAAGCGCGCAACUGGGCCAUUACUGGCACUGAGGGACGAAAGCUAGGGGAGCGAAUGGG